AAAGGUAACGGAGGCGCUCAAAGGUUCCCUCAGAAUGGUUGGAAAUCAUUCAUAGAGUGUAAAGGCAUAAGGGAGCUUGACUGCGAGACCUACAAGUCGAGCAGGGUCGAAAGACGGACUUAGUGAUCCGGUGGUUCCGCAUGGAAGGGCCAUCGCUCAACGGAUAAAAGCUACCCCGGGGAUAACAGGCUUAUCUCCCCCAAGAGUUCACAUCGACGGGGAGGUUUGGCACCUCGAUGUCGGCUCAUCGCAUCCUGGGGCUGUAGUCGGUCCCAAGGGUUGGGCUGUUCGCCCAUUAAAGCGGUACGCGAGCUGGGUUCAGAACGUCGUGAGACAGUUCGGUCCCUAUCCGUCGUGGGCGUAGGAAAUUUGAGAGGAGCUGUCCUUAGUACGAGAGGACCGUGAUGGAAAUACCUCUGGUGUACCAGUUGUCGUGCCAACGGCAUAGCUGGGUAGCUAUGUGUGGACGGGAUAAGUGCUGACGGCAUCUAAGCAUGAAGCCCCCCUCAAGAUGAGAUUUCCCAACUUCGGUUAUAAGAUCCCUCAAAGAUGAUGAGGUUAAUAGGUUCGAGGUGGAAGCAUGGUGACAUGUGGAGCUGACGAAUAC
rnacentral:rRNA from 1 species